rnacentral:rRNA from 1 species
UACGGAGGGGGCUAGCGUUAUUCGGAAUUAUUGGGCGUAAAGGGCGCGUAGGCGGCCCGGUAAGUCAAAGGUGAAAUCCCUCGGCUCAACUGGGGAAGUGCCUUGGAUACCGGUCGCCUCGAGGGAGGCAGGGGCGUGCGGAACUUCGGGUGGAGCGGUGAAAUGCGUAGAUAUCCGAAGGAACACCGGUGGCGAAAGCGGCGCGCUGGACCUCUUCUGACGCUGAGGCGCGAAAGCCAGGGGAGCAAACGGG